rnacentral:rRNA from 1 species
UGGGGAAUAUUGGACAAUGGGCGAAAGCCUGAUCCAGCCAUGCCGCGUGCGUGAAGAAGGUCUUCGGAUUGUAAAGCACUUUAAGUUGGGAGGAAGGGCAUUAACCUAAUACGUUAGUGUUUUGACGUUACCGACAGAAUAAGCACCGGCUAACUCUGUGCCAGCAGCCGCGGUAAUACAGAGGGUGCAAGCGUUAAUCGGAAUUACUGGGCGUAAAGCGCGCGUAGGUGGUUUGUUAAGUUGGAUGUGAAAUCCCUGGGCUAAACCUGGGAACUGCAUUCAAAACUGACUGACUAGAGUAUGGUAGAGGGUGGUGGAAUUUCCUGUGUAGCGGUGAAAUGCGUAGAUAUAGGAAGGAACACCAGUGGCGAAGGCGACCACCUGGACUAAUACUGACACUGAGGUGCGAAAGCGUGGGGAGCAAACA